rnacentral:rRNA from 1 species
AGUGAACGCUGGCGGUAGGCCUAACACAUGCAAGUCGAACGGCAGCACAGUAAGAGCUUGCUCUUACGGGUGGCGAGUGGCGGACGGGUGAGGAAUACAUCGGAAUCUACUUUUUCGUGGGGGAUAACGUAGGGAAACUUACGCUAAUACCGCAUACGACCUACGGGUGAAAGCAGGGGAUCUUCGGACCUUGCGCGAUUGAAUGAGCCGAUGUCGGAUUAGCUAGUUGGCGGGGUAAAGGCCCACCAAGGCGACGAUCCGUAGCUGGUCUGAGAGGAUGAAUAAGCAAAACUGGAAUGAGAACAGGUUCAGAAUCCUAAGGGAGGGAAGAGUGGGGAAAAAUUGAAAAAGGGGGGAAGGCUGGACCAGGCAAUACGGGGGGGGGAAGAAGGGCUUUGGGGUGGAAAAGCCUUUUGGUGGGAAAGAAAAGGAGGAAGGUAAAAACCCCCUGGUUCGAAGGGAACCAAAGAAAAAGCACCGGCUAACUUCGUG